rnacentral:rRNA from 1 species
CUUGGUGGCCAUAGCGCGGUGGUCCCACCUGAUCCCAUGCCGAACUCAGAAGUGAAACGCCGUAGCGCCGAUGGUAGUGUGGGGUCUCCCCAUGUGAUGCCGUUCUGUCGUAC